AAAAAAAAAAAACAAAAACUAGUUUAUUAAAUUGUCCUGUCAUCUUCAAGUUCAGUCUUUCUGCAUUUUUAAAGGAUGUUCUGAAAGUUUGCUAAAGGACUUUACCUAGCAUAACUGUUUGUAUAUGAAUGUAUAAAAUACAAAGCCAGGCUUGCUUCUGCAUGUUUUUAUUUCACUGAGGCGGAGGCAGAAGGGUUAAUACAAUUUCAAGGCCACCCAACCAGAGAUACAUAGUGAGCUAUUACUAUCUCAAGGAAAACAAAAUAGUAAUGAAAUAGAAUUACAUAACAAGUCAAAAGAAUUCAGCCUUGAAUUAGUGUGGAGAACCUACUUUUAAAAAAUCAGUGUGGAGGACAUACUUUUAAAAAAUUCUGUCUAAGCCAACCAUACUACAAAUGCCUAUAAUCCUAACACUUAGGAGAGCAGAGUUAGGAGAACCAAAAGUUAGAGGCCGCUGGGACUUCAUACAUAGGUUGGUCUGAGUUACAUAGUGACACUAAAGAAAAACUUCAUAUUCAGCCAGACUUGUUGGCUCUUGCCUUUAAUCCCAGGAGAGGCAGAAGUGGGUGAAUCUGAGGUCAGUCUGGUCUACAGAGCUAUCUCCAGGACAGCCAGAUUACACAGAGAAACCCUGUCUGAGAAAAAAAGGAAAGAAAAGCUGGUUUCCCAAAUGUAGAAGCAAUGGUAAGUGCCAAGCAAUGGUGGCCCACACCUUUAUUCCCAGUCCUCAGGAGGCUGGCCUCUGCCUCACUGAUAUCUGUCCUGUGUGGUUCUUAAUAAGACUCUUGGAGAACACAAAUAUGAAUAGUCCAAAGUAAUUCCACUUACGAGAAUUUAUAGGCACCUCUUAGGAUAGUUGAUAUCCUUGGAAUUUCCUUAUUACAAGGAUCUCUAUUUUUCUUAGGUUUAUAAACUAGGUAGGAAAAGAAACAAAAAUGACUAGUUAUCCAGGGCAUCAAAAUGGUUGUCUUUAACAAGGCACAGACAAAUUGGUUGUGUUUGUCAUUGGUCCUCUGUAUGAGUCUAGGCUUCUAGAAAUGCCAGUGAAACAGUAUUAGAGAAGAUUGCUCAGAGUAGAAACACUGAGAAGUACAGGGUUUCACACUGAUGGUGAAAUUGGCCCUGUAAACUCCCAGUGCUACACUGAAGGAUAGUUAAAAGUUCAGCCUUGAGGGUUGGGACUUAGCUCAGUUGGUAGCAAGCUUGCCUAGCAUGAUGAAAGUCAGUGUUUGAUCCUCAGCACCACAUAACCUGGGCAUAGUGGCACCUGCCUGUAAUCCUAGUACUUAGAAGAUGGAGGCAGGAGAUACACAAGUUCACAGUGGUCCUUGGCUACAUACCAAGAUCAAAGCCAGCCUGGGCUACCUGAGACCCUGAAUCAAAGAAAAAUGCCUUGGAAAUUGCUGUUGCCUGUUAAGACAACAAAAUUCAUGAGCUAGGAUGUAGAAGUCUGACUGCUCUUUAGUUUCUUGGCUUACUGUACCUAAGCUAGGGUGUGUUUCAACCCUGCAACUAACUUUAUUUUUGCCUUCUUUCCAGAUACCGGUUGUAGCACAUGCUCCCUGCCACACUGAUAAGCUCUGAGCGCAUCCUUUCUUUGAAAGGACACUUAACAUGUACACUCUUGUCUUCGCUGUGAAUAUUCUGUUGAACCUGCAGGCUAAACUGAGUUCAGUGACCCAUGCAGCCUUUUCUCUCAUGCCUACUUAAAUUUCAGCUGGAACCAUCUGAAAUUUGAUUCACUUGCUUUUUAAAAUUGAGUUCGAUCUUCCUUUUCUUUAUGAAGUAAAUAUAGUCAACACUAGCUUUGCUGUCAGGCUCUGGCAUUCACAAUGGUUUCUGUGUUUGAUCUUCAGUUAUGAAUUUUUCAGGCACUAGAUGACCUAUUGAGUCCAAUAUUGACUAUUUUAAAUCUGCUGGUGUCUUUCCUAUUGACUAAACACCACAGCAUGAUACCUUACAUUCCUUACACUUUUGGAAUACCAGCCUGGGAAUUGACCAUAUGUUGAAAGGCAGACAUUUUCGGGGGUGGGGUUUAAAACCAAACCUUGGCAUGGGGUGCUUUCUUGGUAUUUAUUUUCAUUGGUUCUGGUCAUCGUUAACCAGCAUACUUCCCAGUCCCUAAGUAGUAGCUUUAUAUGCAAUUUCAUUUUGCCUUUCUAGCUACUAAGAUACUACAUUGCAGAGUGCACAGUUUUAAUUGGUUUUCUCUGAGGAUCACUUUUGAGCCACUGAUGGAGUGUGCCUUGAGAAGAAAUGUGUCAUUUGAAAUCAGGACCGUCCAGCAAGGAUAACAACCUGGUCGCAUGGUCAGAAUAAUCAAACACUUUAACAACAUUCCCUUGGGGUUCCUUCCAUCUAUUCUCAUUUCCAUUCCCUAAUGAGUGAUGGCCCAGUCCUGCCAUUUCUGGGUAUGUCGAGGAAUUGAACUGUCACUCAGUUUGGCCAACCUGUAUGACUUAUGGAAAACAAGUAGAACUUGGUUUCUUGGCCAACUAAACUAUAAAAAGUUGGUUUUCAGCUUACGAUUUUGUGCUGUAAAGAAGAUUUUGGGCCUGGCAGUGGUGGCACAUGCCUUUAAUCCCAGUGCUUGGGAGGCAAAGGCAGGUAGAUCAAGGCCAGCCUGGUCUACAAAAUGAGUUCCAGGAAAGCUGGGACUAUUACACAGACAAAUCCCAUCUUGGAGGAAGGGAUUUUUUUCUUGGUUCAUUUCAAAUGCUUUUUUCAAUAUUUUUCCUGUGACUCAGAAAGUGGUUGAAUAAACUGGGUAUAGAGGCACACACUUGUAAUAUCAGGCUAAGGCCCAAGAGGCUUAGUGUGAGGCCAGCCUGAGUUGAGCUGCACAUUGAGUCUUUGUCUCAAAGAUUUUAAAUUAGAAAAAUUAGUUGAUUAGAGAUAAACCUUCGGAAUUUAAAGCCUGUGCUAAUGAUCAUCAAAGUUUUUUUUUUUUUCUGGCUUAAGUGGUUUGUACAUAAAUUCUAUUUUAAGUUUGACAAAUUGGAAAACCACUUAGAAGAGUUUACUAGAGACUUAAAUCAGUAAGUGUUUGGUCCUCCUGGGAAUCACACCUUUUCUCACCGAACAUUGCAUUAAAAGAGUGUAGAAGCCAACUGAAGUGGUGUGCACCUACAUUAACCACCUAAUCAGGCAGGAGGCUCCAGAGCAGCCUGGGCAACAGAGUGAGAUCCCAGCUCAAAGGGAAUGGAAAAGUCCACCCUAAACUGUAGGAAAAAAAAAAAGGGACCUGCUGGAAGUGGGG
ensembl:lncRNA